AAUAUUGCACAAUGGAGGGAACUCUGAUGCAGCGACGCCGCGUGAGCGACGAAGGCCUNCUGGUCNUNAAGCUCUGUUCUAUGGGNAGUUAAUGACUGUACCAUAGUAGGAAGCCCCGGCUAACUACGUGCCAGCAGCCGCGGUAAUACGUAGGGGGCGAGCGUUGUCCGGAAUUACUGGGCGUAAAGGGUACGCAGGCGGCCAUGUAAGUCAGAUGUGAAAGGUCAGGGCUCAACCGUGGUAAGCAUUUGAAACUGUGUGGGUUGAGUUAAGGAGAGGAAAGUGGAAUUCCUGGUGUAGCGGUGAAAUGCGUAGAUAUCAGGAGGAAUACCAGUGGCGAAGGCGACUUUCUGGACUUAAACUGACGCUGAGGUACGAAAGCGUGGGGAGCAAACA
rnacentral:rRNA from 1 species